rnacentral:lncRNA from 1 species
UAAGUCUCCUCCACCACCAAAGAAGGUAUACUACCCACCUCCAGUCUACAAGUCUCCCCCACCUCCCAAGAAGGUAUACUAUCCACCACGUCUAUAAGUCUCCUCCACCACCAAAGAAAGUAUACUACCCACCACCAGUCUACUCACCACCACCGCCAAAGAAGGUAUACUACCCACCUCCCGUCUACUCACCACCACCACCGAAGAAGGUGUACUACCCACCUCCCGUCUACUCACCACCACCACCGAAGAAGGUGUACUACCCACCUCCCGUCUACUCACCACCACCACCGAAGAAGUAUACUACCCACCCCCGUCUACUCACCACCACCACCGAAGAAGGUAUACUACCCACCACCCGUCUACUCUCCACCACCACCGAAGAAGGUAUACUACCCACCACCCGUCUACUCUCCACCACCACCGAAGAAGGUAUACUACCACCACCCGUCUACUCUCCACCACCACCGAAGAAGGUAUACUACCCUCCUCCCGUCUACUCUCCACCACCACCAAAGAAAGUAUACUAUCCACCUCCCGUCUACUCUCCACCACCACCAGUAUACCACUCCCCCACCUCCGGUCUAUCAUUCUCCACCACCACCAGUAUACCAUUCCCCACCACCUCCCGUUUAUUACUACUCAUCGCCACCGCCACCUCCACACUACUAGGAAUUAAAUGUCCUAGGUCAAGGUAAUUUUAAAUCUCCCACCAAAUUGCGUUGUCUUUUCUCCACGUAUAUAACAGUAAACAUAACUAAUAAUAUAUGUUACUUUCAAAGGACAGAGAAAUGUGGAUGAAAAUGAAAACAAACAAAUAAUAAUUCUGUGGAUUUUUAACAUCAUAAAAAUUUGGUUGGCCGUCACUAAAAUUUGGACUACUGUUUAUGAUUUAUAUCCAAAAUUCAGUGGUAGGGACCCCAAUAGAUAGAGAAAAUUCAAAAAUAAAAAACAAAAACUUGGGUCCAAAUAAUUAAUUUUGGUUAAUUUGUUGUGUUGUG